AAAGGGCCUGACUGAACCGAUAAAAAUAGAGCAUUGUGUCAUUCGAUGCAAUGGAUGUGUAUUGUAAACAGAAUAAUUAAAAUUCUGAUAGAUAUGUUGUGGAACAGAAGCAUAAACUCAAUAUUUUCAAAAUAUCACCAGACACAAGUAUGGAGUCCCUGUUCAAAACGACUUCUCGCAACGAUUUUUGGUGGAGAAUCCGUGAUGAAUAUCCAAUGCUUUCCAAAAUGGUCUCUCCAUUUCCCAACAACAUAUUUGUGCAAAACAGGUUUCUCAAGCUAUACAACCACGAACACAAAAUACCGCAAUAGACUGGACACCGAACCUGAUAUGAGACUAUCUUCUAUCAAACCUAAUAUCAACCAAUUGAUAAAAAAUAAAAAACAGUUUCAUACUACCCAUUAGUUAGAUUUUUUCUUUUUUAAUAUUUUCUAUAUUGAUACUUGUUAUAUAAGUGAGUAAUAAGUAGGUAACUGUUACAUUGUACUUUUAUUAUGCUUAUUAAUGAAAAAUACACUUCAAAA